UACGUAGGGGGCGAGCGUUGUCCGAAUUCACUGGGCGUAAAGCGCGCGUAGGCGGACUUUUAAGUUGGUGGUGAAAUUCCGAGGCUUAACCUCGGAACUGCCUCCAAAACUGGGAGUCUUGAGGUAUGGAGAGGGAAGUGGAAUUCCUGGUGUAGCGGUGAAAUGCGUAGAUAUCAGGAGGAACACCUGUGGCGAAGGCGGCUUCCUGGCCACAUCCUGACGCUGAGGUGCGAAAGCUAGGGGAGCAAACGGG
rnacentral:rRNA from 1 species